rnacentral:tRNA from 1 species
UGUAGCUCAGUUAGUAGAGCUCUUGCUUAGCAUGUAUGAAGCCCUGGGUUCAAUCCCCAGUA